GGGAGCAAACAGGAUUAGAUACCCUGGUAGUCCACGCCGUAAACGAUGUCGACUUGGAGGUUGUGCCCUUGAGGCGUGGCUUCCGGAGCUAACGCGUUAAGUCGACCGCCUGGGGAGUACGGCCGCAAGGUUAAAACUCAAAUGAAUUGACGGGGGCCCGCACAAGCGGUGGAGCAUGUGGUUUAAUUCGAUGCAACGCGAAGAACCUUACCUGGUCUUGACAUCCACAGAACCUUGUAGAGAUACGAGGGUGCCUUCGGGAACUGUGAGACAGGUGCUGCAUGGCUGUCGUCAGCUCGUGUUGUGAAAUGUUGGGUUAAGUCCCGCAACGAGCGCAACCCUUAUCCUUUGUUGCCAGCGGUCCGGCCGGGAACUCAAAGGAGACUGCCAGUGAUAAACUGGAGGAAGGUGGGGAUGACGUCAAGUCAUCAUGGCCCUUACGACCAGGGCUACACACGUGCUACAAUGGCGCAUACAAAGAGAAGCGACCUCGCGAGAGCAAGCGGACCUCAUAAAGUGCGUCGUAGUCCGGAUUGGAGUCUGCAACUCGACUCCAUGAAGUCGGAAUCGCUAGUAAUCGUGGAUCAGAAUGCCACGGUGAAUACGUUCCCGGGCCUUGUACACACCGCCCGUCACACCAUGGGAGUGGGUUGCAAAAGAAGUAGGUAGCUUAACCUUCGGGAGGGCGCUUACCACUUUGUGAUUCAUGACUGGGGUGAAGUCGUAACAAGGUAACCGUAGGGGAACCUGCGGUUGGAUCACCUCCUUA
rnacentral:rRNA from 1 species